AAAUUGAAGAGUUUGAUCAUGGCUCAGAUUGAACGCUGGCGGCAGGCCUAACACAUGCAAGUCGAGCGGUAGCACAGAGAGCUUGCUCUCGGGUGACGAGCGGCGGACGGGUGAGUAAUGUCUGGGAAACUGCCUGAUGGAGGGGGGAUAACUACUGGAAACGGUAGCUAAUACCGCAUAAUGUCGCAAGACCAAAGUGGGGGACCUUCGGGCCUCAUGCCAUCAGAUGUGCCCAGAUGGGAUUAGCUAGUAGGUGGGGUAACGGCUCACCUAGGCGACGAUCCCUAGCUGGUCUGAGAGGAUGACCAGCCACACUGGAACUGAGACACGGUCCAGACUCCUACGGGAGGCAGCAGUGGGGAAUAUUGCACAAUGGGCGCAAGCCUGAUGCAGCCAUGCCGCGUGUGUGAAGAAGGCCUUCGGGUUGUAAAGCACUUUCAGCGGGGAGGAAGGCGGUGAGGUUAAUAACCUCAUCGAUUGACGUUACCCGCAGAAGAAGCACCGGCUAACUCCGUGCCAGCAGCCGCGGUAAUACGGAGGGUGCAAGCGUUAAUCGGAAUUACUGGGCGUAAAGCGCACGCAGGCGGUCUGUCAAGUCGGAUGUGAAAUCCCCGGGCUCAACCUGGGAACUGCAUUCGAAACUGGCAGGCUAGAGUCUUGUAGAGGGGGGUAGAAUUCCAGGUGUAGCGGUGAAAUGCGUAGAGAUCUGGAGGAAUACCGGUGGCGAAGGCGGCCCCCUGGACAAAGACUGACGCUCAGGUGCGAAAGCGUGGGGAGCAAACAGGAUUAGAUACCCUGGUAGUCCACGCCGUAAACGAUGUCGAUUUGGAGGUUGUGCCCUUGAGGCGUGGCUUCCGGAGCUAACGCGUUAAAUCGACCGCCUGGGGAGUACGGCCGCAAGGUUAAAACUCAAAUGAAUUGACGGGGGCCCGCACAAGCGGUGGAGCAUGUGGUUUAAUUCGAUGCAACGCGAAGAACCUUACCUGGUCUUGACAUCCACAGAACUUUCCAGAGAUGGAUUGGUGCCUUCGGGAACUGUGAGACAGGUGCUGCAUGGCUGUCGUCAGCUCGUGUUGUGAAAUGUUGGGUUAAGUCCCGCAACGAGCGCAACCCUUAUCCUUUGUUGCCAGCGGUCCGGCCGGGAACUCAAAGGAGACUGCCAGUGAUAAACUGGAGGAAGGUGGGGAUGACGUCAAGUCAUCAUGGCCCUUACGACCAGGGCUACACACGUGCUACAAUGGCAUAUACAAAGAGAAGCGACCUCGCGAGAGCAAGCGGACCUCAUAAAGUAUGUCGUAGUCCGGAUUGAGUCUGCAACUCGACUCCAUGAAGUCGGAAUCGCUAGUAAUCGUAGAUCAGAAUGCUACGGUGAAUACGUUCCCGGGCCUUGUACACACCGCCCGUCACACCAUGGGAGUGGGUUGCAAAAGAAGUAGGUAGCUUAACCUUCGGGAGGGCGCUUACCACUUUGUGAUUCAUGACUGGGGUGAAGUCGUAACAAGGUAACCGUAGGGGAACCUGCGGUUGGAUCACCUCCUUACCUUAAAGAA
rnacentral:rRNA from 1 species